rnacentral:rRNA from 1 species
CAUUGGGGGGCGUGGCCUAAUACAUGCAAGUAGAACGCUGAAGAGAGGAGCUUGCUCUUCUUGGAUGAGUUGCGAGACGGGUGAGUAACGCGUAGGUAACCUGCCUUGUAGCGGGGGAUAACUAUUGGAAACGAUAGCUAAUACCGCAUAACAAUGGAUGACACAUGUCAUUUAUUUGAAAGGGGCAAUUGCUCCACUACAAGAUGGACCUGCGUUGUAUUAGCUAGUAGGUGAGGUAAUGGCUCACCUAGGCGACGAUACAUAGCCGACCUGAGAGGGUGAUCGGCCACACUGGGACUGAGACACGGCCCAGACUCCUACGGGAGGCAGCAGUAGGGAAUCUUCGGCAAUGGGGGCAACCCUGACCGAGCAACGCCGCGUGAGUGAAGAAGGUUUUCGGAUCGUAAAGCUCUGUUGUAAGUCAAGAACGGGUGUGAGAGUGGAAAGUUCACACUGUGACGGUAGCUUACCAGAAAGGGACGGCUAACUACGUGCCAGCAGCCGCGGUAAUACGUAGGUCCCGAGCGUUGUCCGGAUUUAUUGGGCGUAAAGCGAGCGCAGGCGGUUUGAUAAGUCUGAAGUUAAAGGCUGUGGCUCAACCAUAGUUCGCUUUGGAAACUGUCAAACUUGAGUGCAGAAGGGGAGAGUGGAAUUCCAUGUGUAGCGGUGAAAUGCGUACAUAUAUGGAGGAAACACCGGGUGGCGAAAGCGGCUCUCUGGUCUGUAACUGACGCUGAGGCUCGAAAAGCGUGGGGAAGCGAACAGGGAUUAGAUACCCCUGGGUAAUCCCACGCCGG